rnacentral:rRNA from 1 species
UAAUACGGAGGGCAUAAGCGUUGUUCGGAAUCAUUGGGCGUAAAGCGGGUGUAGGCGGCUUGGCAAGUCGGGUGUGAAAUCCCUGGGCCCAACCCAGGAACUGCACUCGAAACUGCCUCGCUAGAGUCCCGGAGAGGGUGGCGGAAUUCCCGGUGUAGAGGUGAAAUUCGUAGAUAUCGGGAGGAACACCAGUGGCGAAGGCGGCCACCUGGACGGUGACUGACGCUCAGACCCGAAAGCGUGGGGAGCAAACAGGAUUAGAUACCCUGGUAGUCCACGCCGUAAACUUUGGGUGCUCGUCGUAGCGGGUAUUGACCCCUGCUGUGACCAAGCUAACGCAAGAAGCACCCCGCCUGGGGAGUACGGUGGCAACACUA